rnacentral:ncRNA from 1 species
UGGAGCGUGUGUUUUAAUUUGAUACAUAGUGAAGCACCUCAUUAGUGAUUGACAUGCCAUGAAUCUUGACGGAAGAGAAGGCUAGCUUUGGAAACCUGGACAUAGGUGGUGCAUGGCUGUGUUCAUGCCAUAAGGUGUCAAAGACCUGCAUUGAGUGAACUCUUCUGUCUACUUUCUUUCUUGAGUUUUGAACCCUGAACACAUUGUUGGUGAUAAGAUGAAGGAGUUUCAGGAUCAUGUUAAGCUAUAUUUGCCCAGUAUACAUUGGAUGGCACAUAUGCUACAAUGACUGGGCCAGAGGGUUGAGACCUUGCAGGGUGAGCUAAUCCCAAAAACUCACCCUCAGUUCCAGAUUUACUAAGAUAUGCCAAAGUCUAGGGGGAA